UACGUAGGGGGCAAGCGUUAUCCGGAUUUACUGGGUGUAAAGGGAGCGCAGACGGCUCUGCAAGUCUGAAGUGAAAGCCCGCGGCUUAACCGCGGGACUGCUUUGGAAACUGCAAGGCUUGAGUAUCGGAGGGGCAGGUGGAAUUCCUAGUGUAGCGGUGAAAUGCGUAGAUAUUAGGAAGAACACCGGUGGCGAAGGCGGCCUGCUGGACGAAAACUGACGUUGAGGCUCGAAGGCGUGGGGAGCAAACAGG
rnacentral:rRNA from 1 species